AGUCGAACGAAGUAGCAAUACUUAGUGGCAGACGGGUGAGUAACAUGUGGGUAUCUACCCUUUGGCCUGGAAUAACACGAGGAAACUUGUGCUAAUACCGGAUAAGUCUUUACGGAGAAAGCUUUAUGCACCAUUGGAUGAGCCUGCACUUGAUUAGUUAGUUGGUGGGGUAAAGGCCUACCAAGACUUUGAUCAAUAGCUGAUUUGAGAGGAUGAUCAGCCACAUUGGGACUGAGACACGGCCCAAACUCCUACGGGAGGCAGCAGUGGGGAAUAUUGCACAAUGGGCGCAAGCCUGAUGCAGCCAUGCCGCGUGUAUGAAGAAGGCCUUCGGGUUGUAAAGUACUUUCAGCAGUGAGGAAGGUGGAGUCGUUAAUAGCGGCCUCAUUUGACGUUAGCUGCAGAAGAAGCACCGGCUAACUCCGUGCCAGCAGCCGCGGUAAU
rnacentral:rRNA from 1 species